GAAGUGUUAUCCGCGUCGGACCGUGUACAAGUCUCCUGGAAUGGAGCGUCAUAGAGGGUGAGAAUCCCGUCCAUGACACGGACGCCCCGAUGCUUUGUGAGGCACUCUCAAAGAGUCGAGUUGUUUGGGAAUGCAGCUCAAAAUGGGUGGUAAAUUCCAUCUAAAGCUAAAUAUUGGCGAGAGACCGAUAGCGAACAAGUACCGUGAGGGAAAGAUGAAAAGCACUUUGGAAAGAGAGUUAAACAGUACGUGAAAUUGUUGAAAGGGAAACGCUUGAAGUCAGUCGCGUCCCGUGGAACUCAGCCUGGCUUCGGCCUGGUGUACUUUCCAUGUGGACGGGUCAACAUCAAUUUCGGCCGGUGGAAAAGGGCGAGGGGAAUGUAGCGUUGUUUCGGCGACGUGUUAUAGCCUCUUGUCGUAUACNCUGGCUGGGANUGAGGACUGCAGCACGCCCUUGUGGCCGGGGGUUCGCCCCACGUAAGGUGCUUAGGAUGUUGNCAUAAUGNCUUUAANCGACCCGUCUUGNAACACGGACCAAGGAGUCUAACAUGCUUNCGAGUGUUCGGGUGNAAAANCCUUGCNCGUAAUGNAANUGAAAGUUGGGAGCCUCCNCGAGGGGGUGCACCGACNCCCGGCCCUGA
rnacentral:rRNA from 1 species